UGUAAGUCUUACGUCACAGGCACCUGGAUAAAUCCCAAGCGUAACGAAGGAUUUUAAAGUAACUCCCAAGUGUAGCGAGGGUGUUGCAUCUUGAAUCCUGAGUGAAGCGCGGGGUUUAGGGGCGCCUAAGACUAAGACAGCAUUACCCCCAAGUUGAAUACUCUGCUUUUCACACCUCGCGAGACAAUAAAAUCAAAAUCUUCGUAUGCUUAAAUAGCUAUCUGUGUUUAAAA